GACGAACUGUCCUAACGUUGUUCGGAAUCACUGGGCUUAAAGGGCGCGUAGGCGGGCUCACAAGUCAGGGGUGAAAUCCCACGGCUCAACCGUGGAAGUGCCUUUGAUACUGUGGGUCUUGAGGGAGGUAGGGGCGUGCGGAACUUCCGGUGUAGCGGUGAAAUGCGUAGAUAUCGGAAGGAACACCAGUGGCGAAAGCGGCUUCCUGGUCCAGCACCGACGUUCAGGCACGAAAGCGUGGGGAGCAAACAGG
rnacentral:rRNA from 1 species